CUCUUCAGUCUCACCUGUUGGCGUCAGUGAUUGGAGAUGCGGUCAAGGCCAGCAGACGCUCGGACAGCGUGAGGGGAAGUCGUGACCUGGUGGUGGAGGCCCUCAGACACAAGAAUAAAUUGCUGCAAAGGGAGAAUGCAGAACUAAGAAAUAAACUUCAGGGGAAAGCAGGAAUAGACAGCUCUGAGGAAGAAACGGAUAACUCUGAAACAGAUCGACCCACAUCACAUGUGAGAUUCAACUCAGGCAGAGAUACAACCACUUUGCAAAGAAACCUCUAAGUGUGUGUGUGUGUGUGUGUGUGUGUGUGUGUGUGUGUGUGUGUGUGUGUGUGUGUGUGUGUGUGUGUGUGUGUUUUUGUUAGUGGUGAAGCCCCCCUGCAUAACAGAAACACACAGAUGAGUGUGUAAGCAGUGAAGAUGUCACAGGACUGGAUAAUAAUAAUUUAUGCAUAAUUAAUCAUUAAAAUAAUUAAUAUUUUAUUUUAGAGUGAAUCAAUAAUGUAUAGACAAGCUAGAGAGAAACUGAUUUUAAUAUUAUAUAUUAAUUUUAAUGUAUUAAACUACAAUAAUCUCUAAUUAAACCUCCUCAAUCUGCCAUCGUUCACAAGAAAAACACACAGAAAUGAAAAUAAGACUGAUAAUAAUAAUAAUAAUAAUAAUAAUAAUAAUAAUAAUAAUAAUAAUAAUAAUGUACACUAUGUAUUGCACUGUACAUCCAGUAAAUAAAUUCUCAGAUUUCUACAC